UCUUCAUCCGUCUCUCGCUCGCCUCUUUCUGGCCACCAACAACGAAUUAAACGCGCUUUAAUGAGACGAUUUUCCAGUCACCUUUCGAGACGCGCGGACUCGAGAGAACGGACGCUUAACGAGCGUGCGUGCAUGAAGUCGAAAAAUAAAGAGACCAUCGAAGAAAAAAGGGACAACCGAAGGAGGCACAGGGUGGAUGCAGAGAAAAAAAGAAUAAAGUGGAUGAAAAGAGAAGAGACAAGAGAGAGGGUCGAGAGUCUAAGUUGGAAGCUUCUGGAGAACGUGGAACGCCUUGGGACCCCGAAGGGACGAUCGACUCCAACGACGGAGGAGGACAACGAAAUAGGAAGAGAGCAGACCCGUUAUCUUUACUGCUCAAUCUUUUUCGCAAAACUACGAACUAGAGGGUGGCCAUGCAGCCGAUAAGAGAUAACGGGAGCCAGAAUCCAAAGCCGAGCUCUCGGUUUUAUUUACCGAGUCAAUGCUCCAGCAUGGGAUAUCCUGGAAGCCAGUUUACGUGCAUUUCGAGUGCCUCCGUCACAUUCCUCGUGACAAACACGGUGUUAGAAGAAGCGUGAAGCCGGAAGUGGCUCGAGAACCAAAGGGGAGGGAAGGAGACAGAGAGGGAAUCGCCGUGACCCGUUCCCGGCUAUACGAACGAAGGUACUACGAACGUUAGUCCAACUAUUGGAGAUGCAUUGAGUCAUCCGCGGGAAUGGGAUGAUUGUGAGAAGACUGGUAGAGCGCCGGAAGAUGCUGCAAGUGGCGUAAUUGGUUGAUCGAGCGAAUUUUUCAGUUAACGUAAGAAAUUUGUGGAAUUUUAAGGGGAAGAUCGCCUCUAUCUUGGAUCUGGUCGCUCUUAUGGCCGCGUCGCGUCGUCGGGCUGAAGUUGAAUGGCAAAGAAGAACGAGCCACGUUGAAGUCUCCCGUGUCAGCGCGGAGUAGUCGCCGCUGCUUGGCCAAGGAUUUACAAGCCGCCGCUGUUCAUCCAUUAUUGGUGCCAUCCGCCUUACAUACAUCGAGAACUCAUCGUGCGAGCAGCGUCCGCUUGGAGAACACGCGCGACCGUGACCUCUCGAAAACGGAUUGUCGACGCGAGCAAACCAUACUCCUCGAUCGUUCAUCUCGUGGAAUUCGAGAAAACUUGAUUGGUGACGUACUUAUAUAUGUAAUUGCUAGUUUGAAAAAAUGUUGAUUGACGUUUGAAUUUGAAGGUGAAGGCAGCAAUCGAAGAUCUGCUUUUCUUCCUUAAUCUUAGUUUCUUGGACUUGAACGACAGUAACGAAGGUACCUAGGGAUCAUUGAGAGGCGUGGGGAUCGGAGUUCUGAUCUUUCUUUUUAAUUUUAUCCUCUGCUACAGGUUAUUGGAGAAUUUGUGCGAGAAUGAGACUUUUCAUUCUACUGGAUUUUCCAGUAUAAAAAAGAUGAGUGCGAUGCAGUUAUUAAUUAAUAGGAAAAUACUUGAAUAUUUUAAAGCCGAUCUAAGUUUUUUUUAAGCGAGAGUAUAUGCAAUUUCUUGUAAAAAA